AGAGUUUGAUCAUGGCUCAGAACGUACGCUGGCGGCACGCCUUAUACAUGCAAGUCGAACGAAGUAGCAAUACUUAGUGGCAGACGGGUGAGUAACAUGUAGGUAUCUGCCCUUUGGCCUGGAAUAACACGAGGAAACUUGUGCUAAUACCGGAUAAGUCUUUACGGAGAAAGCUUUAUGCACCAUUGGAUGANCCUGCACUUGAUUAGUUUGUUGGUGGGGUAAUGNCCUACCAAGACAAUGAUCAAUAGCUGAUUUGAGAGGAUGAUCAGCCACAUUGGANCUGAGNCACGGUCCAAACUCCUACGGGAGGCAGCAGUAGGGAAUCUUGCACAAUGGAGGAAACUCUGAUGCAGCGAUGCCGCGUGAGUGAAGAAGGCCUUUG
rnacentral:rRNA from 1 species